CAUCGGAUCAGCGACCGAGAGGAGAUCUCGGGGAUCUGCCUGGCUCCGGAGACGUCGGUGUGCGACUGGGGUGUACAAAGUUAAAAAUCACACAACACUGGGUUAUUGUCCAACAGGUGUAAUUGGAUCUACCUUGUUAACGUCGCCUUAGGAAAGAUUUUGUUUUAAAUACUGGUGACCGUCUGUUAUGGUAAGGAAAUCACAUGCCUACCGACGAAGUGGGCGGAGCAGAAUUUGUACUGGUGGAUUCGUUUAGUGGUGUGGAGCAGAAUUUGUACUGGUGGAUUUGUUUAGUGAUGUGAACAGGAUUAAUAAUUCAAUUAUCUUUUUUAUAUCAUUUAAAAUUUAAGCCCCACUGUUGCAAUCACCAAGUGUUAGAAGUGCAUUUCUUACAUCUGUUGUGUUCUUAAUAAACACAAAUUUCUUUACCA